rnacentral:rRNA from 1 species
UUAAGCAUAUCAAUAAGCGGAGGAAAAGAAACUAACAAGGAUUCCCCUAGUAACUGCGAGUGAAGCGGGAAAAGCUCAAAUUUAAAAUCUGGCGGUCUCUGGCCGUCCGAGUUGUAAUCUAGAGAAGUAAUGCCCGUGCUGGACCGUGUAUAAGUCUCCUGGGAUGGGGCGUCAUAGAGGGUGAGAAUCCCGUCUUUGACACGGACUACCAGUGCAUUGUGGUAUGCUCUCAAAGAGUCGAGUUGUUUGGGAAUGCAGCUCAAAAUGGGUGGUAAAUUCCAUCUAAAGCUAAAUAUUGGCGAGAGACCGAUAGCGAACAAGUACCGUGAGGGAAAGAUGAAAAGAACUUUGGAAAGAGAGUUAAACAGUACGUGAAAUUGCUGAAAGGGAAACGCUUGAAGUCAGUCGCGUUGGCCAGGGAUCAGCCUUGCUUUUGCAUGGUGUACUUUCUGGUUGAUGGGUCAGCAUCAAUUUUGACCGCUGGAAAAAGACCUGGGGAAUGUGGCAGCUUCGGCUGUGUUAUAGCCCCUAGUCGCAUACAGUGGUUGGGAUUGAGGAACUCAGCACGCCGCAAGGCCGGGUUUCGACCACGUUCGUGCUUAGGAUGCUGGCAUAAUGGCUUUAAGCGACCCGUCUUG